UUGUGCACCUUGAUGCAAAUUAUAAUUCAAGGUACAAGAUUUUUGGUCAUCACAGUUGUGCACCUUGAUGCAAAUUAUAAUUCAAGGUACAAGGUUUUGGUUAUUACAGUUGUGCACCUUGAUGCAAACUAUAAUUCAAGGUACAACGUUUUUGGUCAUCACAGUUGUGCACCUUGAUGCAAACUAUGAUUCAAGGUACAAGGUUUUGGUCAUUACAGUUG